UACGGGGGGGGCAAGCGUUGUUCGGAAUUACUGGGCGUAAAGGGCCUGUAGGCGGCCAACUAAGUCCGACGUGAAAUCCCAAGGCUUAACCUUGGAACUGCGUCGGAUACUGGAUGGCUUGAAUUCGGGAGAGGGAUGCAGAAUUCCAGGUGUAGCGGUGAAAUGCGUAGAUAUCAGGAGGAACACCGAUGGCGAAGGCAGCUCGCUGGGACGGUACUGACGCUGAGGCGCGAAAGCGUGGGGAGCAAACAGG
rnacentral:rRNA from 1 species